rnacentral:rRNA from 1 species
UGCCAGACUCCUACGGGAGGCAGCAGUGGGGAAUAUUGCACAAUGGGGGAAACCCUGAUGCAGCAACGCCGCGUGAGUGAAGAAGUAUUUCGGUAUGUAAAGCUCUAUCAGCAGGGAAGAGAAUGACGGUACCUGACUAAGAAGCUCCGGCUAACUACGUGCCAGCAGCCGCGGUAAUACGUAGGGAGCAAGCGUUAUCCGGAUUUAUUGGGUGUAAAGGGUGCGUAGACGGGAAAUUAAGUUAGUUGUGAAAUCCCUCGGCUCAACUGAGGAACUGCAACUAAAACUGAUUUUCUUGAGUGCAGGAGAGGUAAGUGGAAUUCCUAGUGUAGCGGUGAAAUGCGUAGAUAUUAGGAGGAACACCAGUGGCGAAGGCGACUUACUGGACUGUAACUGACGUUGAGGCACGAAAGUGUGGGGAGCAAACAGGAUUAGAUACCCGCGUA